rnacentral:rRNA from 1 species
UACCAGCACCCCGAGUGGUCGGGACGAUUAUUGGGCCUAAAGCAUCCGUAGCCGGUUCUACAAGUCUUCCGUUAAAUCCACCUGCUUAACAGAUGGGCUGCGGAGGAUACUAUAGAGCUAGGAGGCGGGAGAGGCAAGCGGUACUUAGUGGGUAGGGGUAAAAUCCGUUGAUCCAUUGAAGACCACCAGUGGCGAAGGCGGCUUGCCAAUACGCGCUCGACGGGUGAGGGAUGAAAGCUGGGGGAGCAAACCGG